UACGUAGGGGGCAAGCGUUGUUCGGAUUCAUUGGGCGUAAAGGGUGCGUAGGCGGCGCGGUAAGUCGAGUGUGAAAUCUCGGAGCUUAACUUCGAAACUGCAUUCGAUACUGCCGUGCUUGAGGACUGGAGAGGAGACUGGAAUUUACGGUGUAGCGGUGAAAUGCGUAGAUAUCGUAAGGAAGACCAGUGGCGAAGGCGGGUCUCUGGGCCGAAAUUGACGCUGAGGAGCGAAAGCGUGGGGAGCAAACAGG
rnacentral:rRNA from 1 species